AAUAUCCUAAUUCCUGCACCGUAGAGAAUAAAACAACGGGUUCGGAAGGAUCGUUCAAAUUACACUAACGAGGAUGCGAUAGUUCAGGACAGAGUUAGCUCCGGAUGAGAUGACGUCGUUACUCAUUUAAUAGAUGUAGCACGAAGAAAUAAUGAUUCACAAAAAAACAAAUAAAAUAAAAGCUGGGGCAGUGAUAGGGAUGACCGCGUGGAGAAUCGCGAGAUUAGUGUUGUGGAGAUACACUACAAUUCCGCUGUUGUGUAUCAUAUGUGAGUACAACCUAAUAAAGAAAUUCGAUAACAUGUGAGAAAGUAAAAGAAGAAAUUCAAAAAUCUGAAACGAGGAGGAAACUUACGAAUAUGUCAGUACAACCUAAUAAAGAAAUUCGAAGAAGCUACAGCCGAGAUACGAAGUAAUUCCCGGGACGUUAAAGAGGUUUUGCAGAAAAGAGAUCAAGGUAUGAUAAAUGUACUACAAUAAUAAAAUUGGAGAAGAAAGUUACAUU